AACGAACGCUGGCGGCAGGCUUAACACAUGCAAGUCGAGCGCCCCGCAAGGGGAGCGGCAGACGGGUGAGUAACGCGUGGGAAUCAACCCUGAUCUGCGGAAUAGCUCCGGGAAACUGGAAUUAAUACCGCAUGUGCCCUGAGGGGCAAAGAUUUGUCGGUUCAGGAUGGGGAGCCCGCGUCCGAUUCGCUAGUUGGUGGGGUAAUGGCCUACCAAGGCGAUGAUCGGUAGCUGGUCUAAGAGGAUGAUCAGACCCAUGGGGACUGGGACUCGGCCCAAGUUCCGGCGGGAGGCGGCAGUGUGGAAGAUUGGACAUGGGGCGCAAGCAUGCUCCAGCCAUGCCUCGUGAGUAAUGAAGGCCCUAGGGUUGUAAAGCUCUUUCAGUGGGGACGAUAAUGACGGUACCCACAGAGGAAGCCCCGGCUAACUUCGUUGCAGCCGCCGCAGUAA
rnacentral:rRNA from 1 species